UGGGGAAUAUUGCACAAUGGGCGCAAGCCUGAUGCAGCCAUGCCGCGUGUAUGAAGAAGGCCUUCGGGUUGUAAAGUACUUUCAGUCGGGAGGAAGGUGUCAAGGUUAAUAACCUUGGCAAUUGACGUUACCGACAGAAGAAGCACCGGCUAACUCCGUGCCAGCAGCCGCGGUAAUACGGAGGGUGCAAGCGUUAAUCGGAAUUACUGGGCGUAAAGCGCACGCAGGCGGUUGAUUGAGUCAGAUGUGAAAUCCCCGGGCUUAACCCGGGAAUUGCAUCUGAUAGUGGUCAGCUAGAGUCUUGUAGAGGGGGGUAGAAUUCCAUGUGUAGCGGUGAAAUGCGUAGAGAUGUGGAGGAAUACCGGUGGCGAAGGCGGCCCCCUGGACAAAGACUGACGCUCAGGUGCGAAAGCGUGGGGAGCAAACAGG
rnacentral:rRNA from 1 species